GGUCACGGUGUGCUGAGCCCUGUGUGCCUCCUAGCGCUGCCCUGCACAUACACCCUUCCUCCCACGACUGAUGCAAAGCCAAUGCAUCACCUUUGAUAAAAUUUGUACGACGCGCCUUCUUCUGUGUCCAGGAAGUGAAUUGAAACAUGAAAUUUAAAUACUGCGGCAACAACAACGCACAGCUGUCCAGUGGGCGAGGCUACACACUUAUGGAGCUACUGAAGGGCUCUGGCGAAUUCUGCAAGGCACAAUAUCACAUCAAAUAAGUGAAAAGAAUAAUUAGAAGCCUGCAUCGUAUGCCAAUAUAUAUGUGAAUUAUUUGUGUGUCAGUGUGUGAAUAGUGGGAGACUGAACUUGGAAUGGGGUAAAGUGAAGGCACGAAAGUGAGUGGGGUCCCCAGUGGCUGCGUUGUCUCUGUUACUGCGGCUGCUGCCACCACCACCAUCACCACCAUCAUCGCCACCGCCACCACAGUCAUCGUCACCAUCCUCAUCUCCAUCACCAUUACUGCCCUUCUCCUUUAGGGGCUUCCUGUCCCAAGUCCUGCAGGAGAGGACACAAGCCAUCCUGGCAGUAUUUUUUGGCAAAAUCAAAAUUGGAGAUUAUCGGCAUUGGUGGAGGCUGGAGAGUUGCUCCCCUGCCCCAUCCAACCCUGAAGCUGUAUCCAGGCAGCCCCUUCCUUCACUAGCUCCAUCCUCAGCAGGCUUUUUACCAUUCAGUUUCUAUCCAUGAAGAGCCAAAGUGCGUGUGUUCCAGUUGAAUGUAUAUAGCGUGAUUGCAGAACGGUGUAUAAUAUCUGAUAACUGCCUUUUUUUAUAAAUACGAAGUACACAUAUAAAAGUAUAUAAAUAUAUACAUAUAUAUAUAUUUGUAAUUAUCAAGAUCUCACACAACCAUACAAGUCAGUGAGACCUCUCUCCCCACUCUUGGUGGAAGGUGCCAUCCUGCUCUGGGAUUGCCACCACCUUCCUGCAUCACUCAGUAGCAAGCAGUACUUCCAGACAUCUCCAGAAGAAAGCAUCUUGCCUCUCCAUAAUAUCUGCAAGAGUCUACGCGUAACCCUUGUUCUUUUUUUUUCGUACGAGCGUUAUGAGUGCAAACAGUGCAAACAUGAGAUCCAAGAGCAUCCGACCCGCCCCCUCCGAGAUUGAAUACAAGAACAUGCGCUUCCUUAUCACCGAUCGACCAACAGAUGCCACUAUGCAGUCGUACAUUGAGGAACUGAUGAAGCACGGGGUGCAUGACGUGGUGCGGGUGUGCGAACCCACCUACAAGACUGACGAGCUCAAGAAGGCUGGAAUUUCUGUGAUGGAUCUGGUGUUUGAUGAUGGAACAUUCCCACCAGCAGAGGUGGUGGAGGAAUGGCUGGGUCUUCUCCGUCGCCGCCACCGUGAGGAACCUGGCUGCACCAUUGCUGUCCAUUGUGUAGCAGGGCUGGGCCGGGCUCCUGUCCUGGUGGCUGUUGCUCUCAUUGAGCUAGGACAACGCUAUGAGGAUGCUGUGGAGCUUAUCAGACAGAAGAGACGAGGAGCCAUCAAUGCCAAGCAGCUGGCCUACCUGGAGAAGUACCGUCCCAAGUCUCGACUCAGGCUAAAGAAUGGCCACAAGACUGGUGCAUGCUGCGUACAGUAAGGGCAAGGAGGAGAGCACACUGUUGUGGCACCUUGACAUACAUCACACUUUGUUGAUGCCAUGUGUCAAGCUCUGCAGUGAGCUGUGGACACAGAACAGUUAUCCCUGAAGCAUGUCUGUGACACUUCAGCAAGUGGUAUUUUAUAAUUUCUUCAUAGAAUUUUGUUGUCAUGGAUUUUCAUCCCAUGAUUUUUAUUUAUUUAUUUUUUGUUUUUCUUCAUAGAUAUCAUAACCACCUCCCUUACAGGCCAUCUUGCCAUAUUGUUAUCCUGUAGUCUACAAAUUUGUAUGUGUAAUGUUUUGCUUGCAAUUUACAUUUCACUGAAAUGCCUGUUUUUGUUUAUAAAUGUCUUCAGUAUUCAGCUUUUUACAUUGAACCAUCAAGAAUAUGAAAGUGUUAGUGUUAGUUCCUACAUGGUGUAAAUGUCUAUAACCACUGAUGACUUAAAACUGUGAAACUGUGCAGUGUUGCACUGAUCUGGGAAAAUUGUAAGGGAUACUCGUCAUUUGUUCUCAAACUCAAAAGGGCAAGUUUUCUUCGCCAUAGAAACAUACAGCAGCUUUUCUAAUUUCUUUUAAAGUGCGGCUUCAAUCUAGACUUAGCUUUACAAAUUGGGUAACAGUGGCAAUCUUCAUCAUAACCGUUUGUCGUGUCAGAAUUGUAUUAUUUUUUUUAUUUAUUAAUUAUUAUUAUUAUUUUUUUUUUUUUUUUUUUUUUUCUAUUUUUUAUUUAUUUUACUUUUUUUUUUUUCAUGACAAUAUGUAGAUAGAUUCAUAGAGUGGCAUUCAUCAAAAUGUGGUCAUUAGUGGGCAUGGCUUAGUGUUUGCAGCUCUGUGGUGAUCUGUUCAUAGGGUUUCAUUCAUGUGUUCGAAAUUCACCGUGAAUAAGAUCCACUCUGAACAUUAAAGUUGGAACCACUGAGAAUAAGCCGAGGGUAGCUUAUUCUGCCUCUGCUAUGAGGAUGAAUCUAUCAUGGCUGUGACUAUUGGCCAUGUAUUGCUAGCCACUAACAUCCUUUCCUUCUCCCUAAGGAUGUAUGGAAUGUCUGCCCGUGUAAAAGUUAUGAGUGUUAUUUAGUAUUUUCUUAAUGUCUACAGUCAAACCUUGUUUUUUCUAGCCUCAGGGAAUAAGGAUAGAAAUAGGAAAGUCAGUGAAGGCUUUGUGAAGAAGGAUAGGAAAAUAAACUAAGAUCUUGUCUGGCAUUAUACUGGGUUGAAUUAACAAGGUCUGAGUGUUUUCAGUUAUGCCAGGGUUGGAGGUGAGCCACCACAGACUAAGCUUACUGCACAAAGAUAAAACCAUGGCACGAGGCAUUCCAGUAUGCCAAGAACAGUUUUACUUUGUAUUAGUCCCGACUCUACAGUAAUUGGAGGCAAACGUUUUUUAAACACUAGAUUUUCAGCUAUAUUUUCAAGCCAUCAAGACAUUUUGUAGUAGAAUGUACCCACUUGUGUUCCUUUAGACAUUUCUCCAUCAGAUUAGAGACAGAGGUAAAAGUUAUGUAUCAUUUAAUGCCACCAGGUUGAAAAACUUUGUAAGCUGCUGUAUAUGGAUUCAUUGAAGGUUUUAAUGUGGAGACACAAGUUGGCCAACUCUGGUAAGCUUCCUUGACUUGGCACUUGGUGAGUGCCAUAUUAUUGUGUGGGGUUCCCAGGGAAGGUCCCAGAGUUGUGUGGAGGAGGUACAUUAUGCAGCACUGCAUCUAGUAUGGAUAUGGUGCCUUUUUAUUUGAAAUUUUAUGCUGUCAGAUAGAAUGAAUUAUAUGGAUUAUGCACUUCUAUGAAUCAAUUAGAAAUGUUUUUAGCAUUUUCACCCAAAAAUAUAAUUGCUUAUAUGUAUGUUUAUUUGAUAGUGUGUUGAGUUUAUAUACUAUUUAACCCAGACUUGGAUGAAUGUGUUGAAUUCAUGAAAAUUUCAGCUAUGAAAAUUAAUGACCUCAGCAUUUUGGUCUCAGUGUGUAUUGUAAGAUCUAGUGUCUUGUGUAUUUUGAAUUGCAAAGUCUUCACUUUUUCUAAACUUUGAUGCAAGACUGGACAAGAUGGCUCCUCUACUAUAUAUUUUUUCAAGGCUUUUUCUUCACUCUGAGAUAGUAGUCUUGGCUUUCAGAUUACUUGUUCAGAGAAAACUGGAUUGAAUGCUGCCCUCAUGUUUGCUGGAAGAACUUGAGAUGAAAUUUAAGCAGUAGCUUGAGUUCAUUUUGUGUGGCUGGAACAUGAGGGUGUUAGUGAGUCAAGGAUCCCAGUCUUGACCUGUCCAUCAGUGUGAAGUAGGCCACAGAAAUAUGCAUCAUUAAUUCACUUUCAAGAAUUACCAGAGGAGAGCUCACCAUCAAUAAUAUUUCCUUUUGAGUCCAGUUUACUAUUGUUAUUAUUAAUUAUUAUUAUUAUUAUUAUUACUGUUGUCAUUUUUUAUUUAUUUAUAAUUUUUUCCUAAGAUUCUAGUAUUAAAGCUGUGGUGCCUAGUUUUAUUUAAAGGCCUGCCUUGCAUUAUAAUCAUGUACUCGACUAUACUUACAAGCAGUUUUAUUUUAAAUUAUAAUGUAACUGACUGUGUAUUUGCCCCUAUGCUAUUUUAUUAAAUUUUGUUGACAAGAUCAUGGCUAUCUGACCUUGAUGUUAGACGCAGGAAAGAUAUUUUUCUAAACGGUAAAAUAACUUUCAGUCCCCACUCAUGCCAGGUCUCAUGCUGAUCUUGUUUUAUCUUAAUUUGCCUUCUUGCAACCUGCUCCCCUCCACCUCUCCUCCCCCCUGAGACAGUCUCCUGGUUAAGUUACAGAGUGUGGCCACGGUAAAGUGUGGUGGCCAGCUCUCGCAUCACUGUAUUACAUUGUUGGCCCUCGCGCUGUAGAUGCGCUAGGUGACCCAAGUGUUGUUGCGUGAGGGUCCUGGUGGCGCUGCUGUGGCAUAAUCUGUAAAGCCCUUGUGGAGCUGGCCAGGCCACACACAGCCUUUGUAAGUGUCUGUAUUUUUGGCUGACGAUAGCAGUGUGAACUUGUUCAUAAUAAAAGUAAUGGUUUUUU
rnacentral:misc_RNA from 1 species